ensembl:lncRNA
UCGUGCUUGAAUGCGACAGACGGGUGAGCGCUUUUACCUGAGUGACGAGAUGGACGGUCAGCUGAUCACUGUUUGACAAAAGGCUACAGGUCAUCGGCCCCAUUCACUGUAUUGGGAUCCCUCACAGCAAAACUUCCAGGAUGUUCCUGAGAUCACAAAUAUGAGGACUCAAGGAAUGCCACAGAGAAACUACUCAUUACCAGUGAGAGCAUGACAGUGUAUGGGAGAAAUGGAUAUUGUGCUUUUUUAUUUAAUUUAUUUAUAAUUUAUUUUUUAGUUUAUUUCAAGGUACGUUUUCCUUUUUCAGUCUAAUUAAAAUCCUGUACUCAUACUUUAUAUUUUACUUUAUGUCAUUAAAUUUGAUAUACAUUAUAUUAUUCUUGAAUGUUUUUCACCUUUAUCUGGUAUUUGGUAUGGAAUUUAGCUGUCCCAGAUUAAUGUGCAUUUAAAAAAAAAAAAAAUCUCACUGUAAUUCUAUAUUGUAAUCUAAAAUAAAAAAAAUGUAAAAAUGGAUUAAAUCCUUUUUUCUGGUAAAAUACAAUAAAAUAUUUUUAAAAUACAAGGGAAAAAAAUAUUUAAAAUACUGUAUUGUUUCUACCAGUGCCAGUGUAAGCAUCUGUCAUUCUGUUCAUUUUUAUCACUAAUUUAGUGAUUAAAUAAAUAAGAAAUUGAAAUGAAAUAAAACAAUUCAAGGCAUCAUUCACGACAUAAAAUAGCAUAGGAAAAGUUCUGGAAAUUAAAAAAAUACCUAAAUUAAAAAGUUGUUACAAUCACACUUCUUUUUCCCCAACAGCGAGAACUUUAAUGAGUAAGCGCUGAAUAUGUGUCAUCAUUAUGGCUUGUAUGUGAUUGAUGGAAAGCUUGGAUGUGAUGGAAAUUUAGUGUUAUAUUUGCAGUCUGUUUUAACUGUCUCAGUCUCGUCUAUUAUGAAAAAUAUAAGGCCAACAUGAUCUGUAUUGAAUUUACUGAAGGAUCACUUUGUUUUUCUCUCUUUUGUCAGACAAGUCCAGUGUCAAAUUCCAAGACAGAGUCUCGGUACGGCCUGGAUCCUCAGCUUCUACCCAGUGUGGUCCAUGUGAUUAAAGAGGACAGGAUCCAGUUGGAGGAGAAAGUGUUUGUUUCAGAAUCCAAAUCUUCAGUUCCCCCUUUCUCCUCAACACAAUGCACCCUGGAGGACAGAGCUGCUGCCCAGUUUAGCCAUAUUAUCUUUUGACUUGAUAGAUUCACAUGAAAAAUAAAUGUGAUGCACCUGGCUUUUGUAGCA